GACAGAGGAUGCAAGCGUUAUCCGGAAUUAUUGGGCGUAAAGAGCUCGUAGGCGGUUUGUCGCGUCUGCCGUGAAAGUCCGGGGCUCAACUCCGGAUCUGCGGUGGGUACGGGCAGACUAGAGUGUGGUAGGGGGAGACUGGAAUUCCUGGUGUAGCGGUGAAAUGCGCAGAUAUCAGGAGGAACACCGAUGGCGAAGGCAGGUCUCUGGGCCACUACUGACACUGAGAGACGAAAGCUAGGGGAGCGAAUGGG
rnacentral:rRNA from 1 species